GUCUUUGUGGUGUAACGGCAGCACAUUCGACGCGUAUUCGAGAGGUCCAGGUUCGAGUCCCGUUGAGGACA
rnacentral:tRNA from 1 species